rnacentral:rRNA from 1 species
CCCUGCCAUUUGUACACACCGCCCGUCGCUACUACCGAUUGAAUGGCUUAGUGAGCUCUAGGGACUGUUGCCUCGAGUAGGGUUUCCUAUUCGGGGAUGACGGGAACUAGAUCAAACUUGAUCAUUUA